GGAUAAUAUUUCAUAGUUGAAUUGGCUUGGAAAAGUUUUUCAACAAAAGGGAUAGGGAAAAUGGUCUCUAUCCGCUAUAGGAUAGGAUCGUGUUCGAUUAUGGUAGUUGGUGAGGUAACGGCUCACCAAGCCGAUAAUCGAUAGGGGCCGUGAGAGCGGGAGCCCCGAGAUGGGUACUGAGACAACGACCCAGGCCUUACGAGGCGCAGCAGGUACGAAACCUCCACAAUACACGAAAGUGUGAUGGGGUUACCCAAAGUGUUCAUUAUUGAACUGUGGUAGGAGAGUAAUGUCCCCUACUAGAAAGGAGAGGGCAAGGCUGGUGCCAGCCGCCGCGGUAAAACCAGCUCUUCAAGUGGUCGGGAUAAUUAUUGGGCUUAAAGUGUCCGUAGCCGGUUUGGUAAGUUCUUGGUAAAAUCGGAUAGCUUAACUAUCUGUAUGCUAGGAAUACUGCUAUACUAGAGGGCGGGAGAGGUCUGAGGUACUACAGGGGUAGGGGUGAAAUCUUAUAAUCCUUGCAGGACCACCAGUGGCGAAGGCGUCAGACUGGAACGCGCCUGACGGUGAGGGACGAAAGCCAGGGGAGCGAACCGGAUUAGAUACCCGGGUAGUCCUGGCCGUAAACGAUGCAUACUAGGUGAUGGUACGGCUAUGAGCCAUAUCAGUGCCGUAGGGAAACCGUUAAGUGUGCCGCCUGGGAAGUACGGUCGCAAGGCUAAAACUUAAAGGAAUUGGCGGGGGAGCACCACA
rnacentral:rRNA from 1 species